rnacentral:rRNA from 1 species
UACAGAGGGUGCAAGCGUUGCUCGGAAUUAUUGGGCGUAAAGGGUAGGUAGGUGGUCUUAUUUGUCUGAGGUGAAAGCCUUGAGCUUAACUCAAGAAGUGCCUCAGAAACGGUAGGACUCGAGUCCUGGAGAGGGUCGUGGAAUUCCCGGUGUAGCGGUGAAAUGCGUAGAGAUCGGGAGGAACACCAGAGGCGAAAGCGGCGACCUGGACAGGUACUGACACUCAACUACGAAAGCGUGGGGAGCAAACAGG